UGUGUGAGCAGAGUGACACAGCAGCCUUUGUCUCUGAGCCAGAGAGACCGAGGUCCAUGGCACCAUCUAAAACUAAUCUAAAAUUCUAAACUUUUGAUAAUAAAUUGUAAAAAUGUAUAAUUUGAGCCUAUUUGUCUUCUCUCAUAAAAAAAAUCAACACAUUGGUGCCCAACACAAAGUUCGACUGGCUAAAAGUGAAGGAGAGAACUGGAAUCAGGACUGGUGGUGAGAGUUAAGCCUCGGCCUGGUCAAGGCACCGAAAUGGUUGCUCAGUGCGAGGAAAAAAUUGAGGAGCAUCAUUGGUUUUGGAUCGAUGGAACUCCUUUCAGAUUUACACACUGGUGUUGUAGAGAGCCUAACAAUGCUCGCCACAAUGAGUGCUGCCUACACAUGAACAGAUUGCAGAAGUCGAGUCUGGUCGACGGAAGUUGCGUCACCAAAACAACAACAACACGCAGCGGAACAGCGAAGAAGCCGGCAAGUCCGCUAUGUUUUUUUUUAUGGAAACUGGCAUUUCUUCUAUGUUUACGUUAAGUUACAGACUCUGGAUUUAGCGCAUUUAACCCUUUUUCUUUGUGGUAAAUGUUAGCUGCGCGCUAGCCGACAUCUAAGGUAUUACGCUCAUUUCUAGUCUUUUCAGUGGCUACAACUGAUGAUGGUAGUAAGUGUAUUUAAUAUCAUCCCAUGCAGGUUUACCGCACUGCCAUUUACUACACAUGUGUGUUUGGCUAUUGUCAGUACAUCUCGCUCGUUGUAAACUUUCUUUAAGUAUGUGUAACAUUAACAAUGAUAUUGUUGAUGGUAACGUGUAUGAUUCCAGCCUACCUGAUAGGCACUUUUGACUUUUUGUAGUUCAGUUCACUGAUUGACUAUCCUGCAGUGCUGUUUUCCUGUAUUCCUGUUUCAUCCACUUUAAUAAAGUGUCCUGUGUUACAGUAA